rnacentral:lncRNA from 1 species
AAAUUUUUUUUUUCCUCAAAUUUUUUUUUCCUCAAAAUUUUUUUUUCCUCAAAAAAUUUUUUUCUCAAAUUUUUUUUCCUAAAAAUAUUUUUUGCUCAAAUUUUUUUUUCAUCCAAUUUUUUUUUUCCUCAAAAAGUUUGUCAAAUUUUUUUUUCGUUUCCUUAUUCGGUUUCUUUUUCCUUAUUCGAUUUUCAUUUCCUUAUACAGUUUCUAUUUCCUUAUUCGAUUUCCAUUUCCUUAUUCGAUUUUCAUUUCCUUAUUCGGUUUCUUUUUCCUUUUUCAAUAUUCAUUUCCUUUUUCGGUUUCUAGUUCCUUAUUCGGUUUCUAUUUCCUUAUUGGAUUUUCAUUUCUUAUUCGAUUUCCAUUUCCUUAUUCAAUUUCCAUUUCCUUAUUCGGUUUCUUUUUCCUUUUUCAAUGUUCAUUUCCUUUUUCGGUUUCUAUUUCCUUAUUGGGUUUCUAUUUCCUUAUUGGAUUUUCGUUUCCUUAUUCGAUUUCCAUUUCCUUAUUCGAUUUCCAUUUCCUAAUUCGCUUUCUUUUUCCUU